GGCGGGGAUUAGUGGCGAACGGGUGAGUAACACGUGGGCAAUCUGCCCUGCACUCUGGGACAAGCCCUGGAAACGGGGUCUAAUACCGGAUAUGACUGUCCAUCGCAUGGUGGAUGGUGUAAAGCUCCGGCGGUGCAGGAUGAGCCCGCGGCCUAUCAGCUUGUUGGUGAGGUAGUGGCUCACCAAGGCGACGACGGGUAGCCGGCCUGAGAGGGCGACCGGCCACACUGGGACUGAGACACGGCCCAGACUCCUACGGGAGGCAGCAGUGGGGAAUAUUGCACAAUGGGCGAAAGCCUGAUGCAGCGACGCCGCGUGAGGGAUGACGGCCUUCGGGUUGUAAACCUCUUUCAGCAGGGAAGAAGCGAAAGUGACGGUACCUGCAGAAGAAGCGCCGGCUAACUACGUGCCAGCAGCCGCGGUAAUACGUAGGGCGCAAGCGUUGUCCGGAAUUAUUGGGCGUAAAGAGCUCGUAGGCGGCUUGUCACGUCGGUUGUGAAAGCCCGGGGCUUAACCCCGGGUCUGCAGUCGAUACGGGCAGGCUAGAGUUCGGUAGGGGAGAUCGGAAUUCCUGGUGUAGCGGUGAAAUGCGCAGAUAUCAGGAGGAACACCGGUGGCGAAGGCGGAUCUCUGGGCCGAUACUGACGCUGAGGAGCGAAAGCGUGGGGAGCGAACAGGAUUAGAUACCCUGGUAGUCCACGCCGUAAACGGUGGGCACUAGGUGUGGGCAACAUUCCACGUUGUCCGUGCCGCAGCUAACGCAUUAAGUGCCCCGCCUGGGGAGUACGGCCGCAAGGCUAAAAACUCAAAGGAAUUGACGGGGGCCCGCACAAGCGGCGGAGCAUGUGGCUUAAUUCGACGCAACGCGAAGAACCUUACCAAGGCUUGACAUACACCGGAAACGUCUGGAGACAGGCGCCCCCUUGUGGUCGGUGUACAGGUGGUGCAUGGCUGUCGUCAGCUCGUGUCGUGAGAUGUUGGGUUAAGUCCCGCAACGAGCGCAACCCUUGUCCCGUGUUGCCAGCAGGCCCUUGUGGUGCUGGGGACUCACGGGAGACCGCCGGGGUCAACUCGGAGGAAGGUGGGGACGACGUCAAGUCAUCAUGCCCCUUAUGUCUUGGGCUGCACACGUGCUACAAUGGCCGGUACAAUGAGCUGCGAUACCGCGAGGUGGAGCGAAUCUCAAAAAGCCGGUCUCAGUUCGGAUUGGGGUCUGCAACUCGACCCCAUGAAGUCGGAGUCGCUAGUAAUCGCAGAUCAGCAUUGCUGCGGUGAAUACGUUCCCGGGCCUUGUACACACCGCCCGU
rnacentral:rRNA from 1 species